CGCGGCCUAUCAGCUUGUUGGUGAGGUAAUGGCUCACCAAGGCGACGACGGGUAGCCGGCCUGAGAGGGUGACCGGCCACACUGGGACUGAGACACGGCCCAGACUCCUACGGGAGGCAGCAGUGGGGAAUAUUGCACAAUGGGCGCAAGCCUGAUGCAGCGACGCCGCGUGAGGGAUGACGGCCUUCGGGUUGUAAACCUCUUUCAGUAGGGAAGAAGCGAAAGUGACGGUACCUGCAGAAGAAGCGCCGGCUAACUACGUGCCAGCAGCCGCGGUAAUACGUAGGGCGCAAGCGUUAUCCGGAAUUAUUGGGCGUAAAGAGUUCGUAGGCGGUUUGUCGCGUCUGCCGUGAAAGUCCGGGGCUCAACUCCGGAUCUGCGGUGGGUACGGGCAGACUAGAGUGAUGUAGGGGAGACUGGAAUUCCUGGUGUAGCGGUGAAAUGCGCAGAUAUCAGGAGGAACACCGAUGGCGAAGGCAGGUCUCUGGGCAUUAACUGACGCUGAGGAGCGAAAGCAUGGGGAGCGAACAGGAUUAGAUACCCUGGUAGUCCAUGCCGUAAACGUUGGGCACUAGGUGUGGGGGACAUUCCACGUUUUCCGCGCCGUAGCUAACGCAUUAAGUGCCCCGCCUGGGGAGUACGG
rnacentral:rRNA from 1 species